CCCUCUCUGUUUCUCUCCGAUUCCGUAUCUUUUUGCCUUUUGCACUUGGGAUUAGGGAUUUCAGAAGAAAAGAAUUAAAUUUGGGUCAUUUUGCAAUUCAAGUUAGUAAUUCCAGGAAAAUCAUAAAAAAUUUCGAUAGCAAAAAUCUAAAGGCAGUACAGCUGAUAGGGUUCCCACUAUUUAGAUGGUAUUGGACGGCCAAUAUAUUUGUUAUUUUACCUUAAUAUACAUUUAAUUUAUUUUUGUGAUUCAUUAAGACCUUAACUUCCCGUGUGCCUUCGAGGUAGGUUAGAAGUCUCAAGGUCGCUUACACUUCACAUCUUAGUUCCUCCCAUGGCUCAACACCACACAUUUGCUAGCUCCAUCCAUUACUGCUGGUGCUUAUUGUUGCGACUCGCAUACGGUGAGCCCCAAAAGAUCUUGGAAUUUUACCUUCAUGUUGAGGUUCCACGAAGAGAAGCACAAAUCCAUCUCAACAGGAUAACCACGCUGGGUGCAGCCAAUCAUCGGAGCCCUUUUAGGAGUGUCAGUUUCCAAUAAUUGUGGUCAAAUUUUAAAAUGCUUCUUGAGUGAUCCAAUUUUCCACCAUUUAAAAAUGGUGUUACGAUACCCAUAAAAGUUUAGUCUGGUAAAGAUAGGUAUUUUUGAUCAAGUAUAAUUCUUUAAAUGGGUCAUCAAUGGGUCAUUUAAGGUUCGGCCAGUUACCAUAGGUGCCCCGACGCCUGUUUUCUUGUCAUCGCAAAGUUCGUAGCUGGGGAAAAGGAAACUGUACAUUUAGACACGGAUGUUGUACAUUCUGGAAACCAUGUUAUCCCCGCUGGAUCUGAUCGGCAACACAAAACGACGGCGUCGAUUUUGACGGG
rnacentral:lncRNA from 1 species